UACGUAGGGGGGCUAGCGUUGUCCGGAAUCAUUGGGCGUAAAGCGCGUGUAGGCGGCCCGGUAAGUCCGCUGUGAAAGUCGGGGGCUCAACCCUCGGAUGCCGGUGGAUACUGUCGGGCUAGAGUGCGGAAGAGGCGAGUGGAAUUCCUGGUGUAGCGGUGAAAUGCGCAGAUAUCAGGAGGAACACCGGUGGCGAAGGCGGGGUCUCUGGGCCGAUACUGACGCUGGAGGAGCGAAAGCCGUGGGGAGCAAACAGG
rnacentral:rRNA from 1 species